rnacentral:rRNA from 1 species
UGAAUACGAGACGCUAAGGCGUCGAAGUAGUGUAUGUCAUACUUCCAAGAAAAGCUUGCACUGUCAUAGAUAAAAAACGCCUGUACCAUAACCGACACAGGUGGGUAGGUAGAGUAUACUAAGGGGCGCGAGAUAACUCUCUCUAAGGAACUCGGCAAAAUAACUCCGUAACUUCGGGAGAAGGAGUGCCUUAUUCGUAAGGUUGCAAUAACAAGAUCCAAGCAACUGUUUAUCAAAAACACAGGUCUCCGCUAAGUCGUAAGACGAUGUAUGGGGGCUGACGCCUGCCCAGUGCCAGAAGGUUAAAGAAGUUGGUUAGCAAUUGCGAAGCUGAUAACUGAAGCCCUGGUGAACGGCGGCCGUAACUAUAACGGUCCUAAGGUAGCGAAAUUCCUUGUCGGGUAAGUUCCGACCCGCACGAAAGGCGUAAUGAUUUGGAUACUGUCUCGGAGAGGGGCUCGGUGAAAUAGACUUGUCUGUGAAGAUGCGGACUACCUGCACCAGGACAGAAAGACCCUAUGAAGCUUUACUGUAACUUGAAAUUGAAAUUGGACUUUAUUCGCGCAGUAUAGGUGGGAGGCGUUGAUUAUAAUCUUGUGGGAUUAUUGGAGCCAUCAGUGAGAUACCACUCUUGUAAUGUUAGAUUUCUAACUUUGAAUCAUUAUCUGGUCAAAGAACAGUUUCAGGCGGGCAGUUUGACUGGGGCGGUCGCCUCCUAAACGGUAACGGAGGCGUACAAAGGUUUCCUCUGAACGGUUAGAAAUCGUAUCUAGAGUGUAAAGGCAUAAGGAAGCUUGACUGUGAGACCUACAAGUCGAGCAGGGACGAAAGUCGGUCUUAGUGAUCUGACGGUACUGAGUGGAAAGGCCGCCACUCAACGGAUAAAAGUUACUCUAGGAUAACAGGCUGAUCUCCCCCAAGAGUUCACAUCGACGGGGAGGUUUGGCACCUCGAUGUCGGCUCAUCGCAUCCUGGGGCGGUAGUACGUCCCAAGGGUUGGGCUGUUCGCCCAUGAAAGCGGUACGCGAGCUGGGUUCAGAACGUCGUGAGACAGUUCGGUCCAUAUCUGGUGUAGGCGUUAGAAUAUUGAGAGGAGCCUUCUUUAGUACGAGAGGACCGAGAAGGACAUACCUCUGGUGUACCAGUUAUCGUGCCAACGGUAAACGCUGGGUAGCUAUGUAUGGAGUGGAUAACCGCUGAAAGCAUCUAAGUGGGAAGCCCACCUCAAGAUAAGUAUUCUCC